GACGAACGCUGGCGGCGUGCUUAACACAUGCAAGUCGAACGGAAAGGCCCCUUCGGGGGUACUCGAGUGGCGAACAGGUGAGUAACACGUGAGUAACCUGCCCUUGACUUCGGGAUAACUUCAGGAAACUGGGGCUAAUACCGGAUAGGAAUCCUUGCUGCACGGUGGGGGUUGGAAAGCUUCGGCGGUUUUGGAUGGACUCGCGGCUUAUCAGCUUGUUGGUGGGGUAGUGGCUUACCAAGGCUUUGACGGGUAGCCGGCCUGAGAGGGCGACCGGCCACAUUGGGACUGAGAUACGGCCCAGACUCCUACGGGAGGAAGCAGUGGGGAAUAUUGCACAAUGGGCGGAAGCCUGAUGCAGCAACGCCGCGUGCGGGAUGACGGCCUUCGGGUUGUAAACCGCUUUCAGCAGGGGCGAAGCUUGUGGUGACGGUACCUGCAGAAGAAGCACCGGCUAACUACGUG
rnacentral:rRNA from 1 species